rnacentral:rRNA from 1 species
GUGAACUCGAAGAGUAGGGCGGGACACGUGGUAUCCUGUCUGAAUAUGGGGGGACCAUCCUCCAAGGCUAAAUACUCCUGACUGACCGAUAGUGAACCAGUACCGUGAGGGAAAGGCGAAAAGAACCCCGGCGAGGGGAGUGAAAAAGAACCUGAAACCGUGUACGUACAAGCAGUGGGAGCACCUUCGGGUGUGACUGCGUACCUUUUGUAUAAUGGGUCAGCGACUUAUAUUCUGUAGCAAGGUUAACCGUAUAGGGGAGCCGCAGGGAAACCGAGUCUUAACUGGGCGUUAAGUUGCAGGGUAUAGACCCGAAACCCGGUGAUCUAGCCAUGGGCAGGUUGAAGGUUGGGUAACACUAACUGGAGGACCGAACCGACUAAUGUUGAAAAAUUAGCGGAUGACUUGUGGCUGGGGGUGAAAGGCCAAUCAAACCGGGAGAUAGCUGGUUCUCCCCGAAAGCUAUUUAGGUAGCGCCUCGUGAANNNNNNNNNNNNNNUCAUCUUCGGGGGUAGAGCACUGUUUCGGCUAGGGGGUCAUCCCGACUUACCAACCCGAUGCAAACUACGAAUACCGAAGAAUGUUAUCACGGGAGACACACGGCGGGUGCUAACGUCCGUCGUGAAGAGGGAAACAACCCAGACCGCCAGCUAAGGUCCCAAAGUCAUGGUUAAGUGGGAAACGAUGUGGGAAGGCACAGACAGCCAGGAUGUUGGCUUAGAAGCAGCCAUCAUUUAAAGAAAGCGUAAUAGCUCACUGGUCGAGUCGGCCUGCGCGGAAGAUGUAACGGGGCUAAACCAUGCACCGAAGCUGCGGCAGCGACACUAUGUGUUGUUGGGUAGGGGAGCGUUCUGUAAGCCUGCGAAGGUGACCUGUGAGGGUUGCUGGAGGUAUCAGAAGUGCGAAUGCUGACAUAAGUAACGAUAAAGCGGGUGAAAAGCCCGCUCGCCGGAAGACCAAGGGUUCCUGUCCAACGUUAAUCGGGGCAGGGUGAGUCGACCCCUAAGGCGAGGCCGAAAGGCGUAGUCGAUGGGAAACAGGUUAAUAUUCCUGUACUUGGUGUUACUGCGAAGGGGGGACGGAGAAGGCUAUGUUAGCCGGGCGACGGUUGUCCCGGUUUAAGCAUGUAGGCUGNUGGAGCUGAGACCAGUCGAAGAUACCAGCUGGCUGCAACUGUUUAUUAAAAACACAGCACUGUGCAAACACGAAAGUGGACGUAUACGGUGUGACGCCUGCCCGGUGCCGGAAGGUUAAUUGAUGGGGUUAUCCGUAAGGAGAAGCUCUUGAUCGAAGCCCCGGUAAACGGCGGCCGUAACUAUAACGGUCCUAAGGUAGCGAAAUUCCUUGUCGGGUAAGUUCCGACCUGCACGAAUGGCGUAAUGAUGGCCAGGCUGUCUCCACCCGAGACUCAGUGAAAUUGAACUCGCUGUGAAGAUGCAGUGUACCCGCGGCAAGACGGAAAGACCCCGUGAACCUUUACUAUAGCUUGACACUGAACAUUGAGCCUUGAUGUGUAGGAUAGGUGGGAGGCUUUGAAGCGUGGACGCCAGUCUGCGUGGAGCCAACCUUGAAAUACCACCCUUUAAUGUUUGAUGUUCUAACGUUGGCCCCUUAUCGGGGUUGCGGACAGUGUCUGGUGGGUAGUUUGACUGGGGCGGUCUCCUCCCAAAGCGUAACGGAGGAGCACGAAGGUUAGCUAAUCCUGGUCGGACAUCAGGAGGUUAGUGCAAUGGCAUAAGCUAGCUUGACUGCGAGCGUGACGGCGCGAGCAGGUGCGAAAGCAGGUCAUAGUGAUCCGGUGGUUCUGAAUGGAAGGGCCAUCGCUCAACGGAUAAAAGGUACUCCGGGGAUAACAGGCUGAUACCGCCCAAGAGUUCAUAUCGACGGCGGUGUUUGGCACCUCGAUGUCGGCUCAUCACAUCCUGGGGCUGAAGUAGGUCCCAAGGGUAUGGCUGUUCGCCAUUUAAAGUGGUACGCGAGCUGGGUUUAGAACGUCGUGAGACAGUUCGGUCCCUAUCUGCCGUGGGCGCUGGAGAAUUGAGGGGGGCUGCUCCUAGUACGAGAGGACCGGAGUGGACGCAUCACUGGUGUUCGGGUUGUCAUGCCAAUGGCACUGCCCGGUAGCUAAAUGCGGAAGAGAUAAGUGCUGAAAGCAUCUAAGCACGAAACUUGCCCCGAGAUGAGUUCUCCCUGAGACUUUAAGUCUCCUGAAGGAACGUU